GCUGAGUGGUUGGAGACUUCAUCGUGGUGAAAUCUUCCUCUGUUGUGCGUUGAAAGCGGGUGCUGCUAGGCACCGCUGUUGAUGAAGUGUCACGAGUCCUGAAAGGCACAUCUGUUGUUACCAAGGGUGUGCUGCCUUGCCCAUGAUUGGUUUGAUAUUUCUGUGUGGUGAAGUCUCCCUCUGUAGUGCGUUGAAAGCGGGUGCUGCUAGGCACCGCUGUUGGUGAUGUCCGGAAAGGCACAUCUGUUGUUACCGAGGGUGUGCUACCUGACCCAUGAUUGGUUUGAAAUUUCUGCGUGGUGAAGUCUCCCUCUGUGGUUCCUGGAUAGCGCGUGCUGCUAGGUGCCUCCGGUGUGGAAGUGUCACGGGUCCUGAAGGGCACACCUGUUGUCCACAAGUGUGAGGUGCCUGAUUCCUGAGUGGUUCGAGACUUCAUCGUCGUGAAAUCUUCCUCUGUUGUGCGUUGAAAGCGGGUGCUGCUAGGCACCGCUGUUGAUGAAGUGUCACGAGUCCUGAAAGGCACAUCUGUUGUUACCAAGGGUGUGCUGCCUGGCCCAUGAUUUGUUUGAUAUUUCUGUGUGGUGAAGUCUCCCUCUGUAGUGCGUUGAAAGCGGGUGCUGCUAGGCACCGCUGUUGAUGUCCGGAAAGGCACAUCUGUUGUUACCGAGGGUGUGCUACCUGACCCAUGAUUGGUUUGAAAUUUCUGCGUGGUGAAGUCUCCCUCUGUGGUUCCUGGAUAGCGCGCGCUGCUAGGCGCCUUCGUUGUGGAAGUGUCACGUGUCCUGAAGUACGCAUCUGUGGUUACCGAGUAUGUGCUGCCUGAUUCGCGAGUUCCUGGAUAUUUCUUCGUGGUGAAAAUACGCUUUCUUGUGCCAGCAUAGCGGGAAC